UUGUUCAGGCAGCACAUAUACUGAAGCUGGAACCAUACAGAGAAUAUUAACAUGACUCCUGCACACAUAUGAUAACUCAGAUUCAGAAAGUGUUCCAUAGUUAC
rnacentral:snRNA from 1 species